UCUUGGGGAGAAAUAGUUGGAGUAACAUCAACCUUUUACAAGGUGGUGAGGGUUCCCUUUAUAUAGGAGAGGAACCUGGCUAUAGUACAACAUGCAUUAAUUGUAGAAUGUGGAGAUGGGAUGGCUAAACGCGACGUUUUCGCAUAGGCUCUAGAUAGGCCGGCUUUGUCAAACUUAGUCGCGUGACUUGGGAACUUCCUCUUCAGUCCUGGCCUCGACCUCCAUCUCCUUUGAGUUGAGUCUUCUUCGAGUCGAGCCUCGACGAGCCCCGAGGGAGGGGACUCGGUCGUGGCUCCCCGCCUUUGGGGUCUCGAGGCAUUCUUCCGAAAUGACUUGAUAGCAAGAAAUUAAGUCUUCCAAUUUCGCCGCGUACAGUGUCCACAAUUAAUAACACUUUGUUUUUAUUGAGAAAGUUUGGUCGAAGUUGCGUGAACGCAUACCUCGAUUUAUUUUGGAACCUAUAAUUAUGCCACUCAAAUGUCAAAAAUACAUACUACUAUGAAUCUAUAUAGUCAAAAAUACAAAUAAAAGUAAAAUGAAGUACAUCACAUUUCAACUAAUCAAACCAAUUAUUUUCAGUUGUAAAUGUCUAGGUAUGAGCUUCUAAUACCUUACUAUUUCAUUGCCAUGCUACUUUAAUUUUGCAGUGUUAGCUUGUCACCUUUCUUCUCCAAAUAGUAAAUUCUUAAGCCACGAGUAAGAGAAAAUGGAUCUCCCACAACACAUUCAAACAAGAUUUCACUGCUAAGGCACUUCAACAUUUCCAACAGGUAAUAAAAAAAUAAUCAUUUAUAGAACCCAACCAAAAAUAUGACUUGUAACAAUAAUAAGAAUAAAGAUGUACCUUAGGAAGAAUUUUACUUUUGAGCUUUAUAGUAGGUGAAUCCAAAAGCAAAUCAGAAACCAAGUAUGGGACCUCGAUGAAACGAAAUUUUAUCGGACACCAAAGCUCGACCUCGACGGAAAAUGGUUACCUAAUGUCACUAGUUGUUGAAACAAAUUAAUAAUGCCAAGUAAAUACCAGAGAAGAGAGAUCGGCAGACUCGGCAAUAAGGCAGCAAACAACCAACUUCAAUCCCAGGUGAAAACUAGCUUCAAACCUCGAAGAACUCAUACUCAAACUUCAAUCCAACUCUAACUUUGAAAAUUGAAACAAAGUGAAGAAGAGAGGUCAGAAGAAAAUGUCGAUAUUAAUAAUUUAUCUGAACUCCAAUGCCUCUAUUUCGUUCUAUGUCCUUUAUCUAUUUUUUUUUUGGACGGGAUUUGUCCGUUCAUAUUGAACAUAACCUGAGAUAAGGGAAGUCCAAGAAACAAUGUUUUUUUGCGGCUGAUUUUUGAAGGUUAGAGAUCAUAGGUCUGUUCUUUGUGUGCUAGGUUUUAAGGUGUUCAAAAAUCAGGGAAGACAGUUGAGAGUUGCUCUUCAAAAUUCAGAUAAUGGAGAUCGACUGAUCGUUUGAAGUGGAGGGAUCUAGGUGUUUCGGUGUUUGUUCGCUGCUCAAAGUGUGGAGAAGAUCGAGCUCAACAACUGAGGGGUCUACUGUGUAUUGCGGGUGCUGCUGCUCUGCGUUCAAAGAGAUGAGAGCCUCUGUUCGUGUGGAUUUUACUGGAUAUGAAGAAAGGGGGAUGGGGGUAAGAUGAAGAAGAAGAUGUUUAGGGAGGUGGUUCUCUUGUAAAACGGCUGAUAGGUCCCUUAGUCUUUUAGAGUCUAUUUUUU
rnacentral:lncRNA from 1 species